rnacentral:rRNA from 1 species
CUGUAAGACUGGGAUAACUCCGGGAAACCGGGGGCUAAUACCGGAUGCUUGAUUGAGCCGCAUGGUUCAAUUAUAAAAGGUGGCUUUCAGCUACCACUUACAGAUGGACCCGCGGCGCAUUAGCUAGUUGGUGAGGUAACGGCUCACCAAGGCGACGAUGCGUAGCCGACCUGAGAGGGUGAUCGGCCACACUGGGACUGASACACGGCCCAGACUCCUACGGGAGGCAGCAGUAGGGAAUCUUCCGCAAUGGACGAAAGUCUGACGGAGCAACGCCGCGUGAGUGAUGAAGGUUUUCGGAUCGUAAAACUCUGUUGUUAGGGAAGAACAAGUACCGUUCGAAUAGGGCGGCACCUCUGACGGUACCUAACCAGAAAGCCACGGCUAACUACGUGCCAGCAGCCGCGGUAAUACGUAGGUGGCAAGCGUUGUCCGGAAUUAUUGGGCGUAAAGCGCGCGCAGGCGGUUUCUUAAGGUCUGAUGGUGAAAGCCCCCGGCUCAACCGGGGAGGGUCAUUGGAAACUGGGGAACUUGAGUGCAGAAGAGGAGAGUGGAAUUCCACGUGUAGCGGUGAAAUGCGUAGAGAUGUGGAGGAACACCAGUGGCGAA